rnacentral:rRNA from 1 species
GACGAACGCUGGCGGCGUGCUUAACACAUGCAAGUCGAACGGUGAAGCACCUUCCUUUUGGUGGGUGUGGAUGAGUGGCGAACGGGUGAGUAACACGUGAGUAACCUGCCCCCUUCUUCUGGAUAACCGCAUGAAAGGGUGGCUAAUACGGGAUAUUCUGGGUCUGUCGCAUGGCGGGCCUGGGAAAGAUGUUGUUGCGGUGGGGGAUGGGCUCGCGGUCUGUCAGCGUGUUGGUGGGGUGAUGGCCUACCAAGGCGGUGACGGGUAGCCGGCCUGGGAGGGUGGACGGCCACACUGGGACUGCGACACGGUCCAGACUGCUACGGGAGGCAGCAGUGGAGAAUAUUGCACAGUGGGGGAAAGCCUGAUGCAGCGGCGCCGCGGGAGGGAUGGCGGCCUGCGGGUUGUAACCCUCUUUCGCCAGUGAAGCAGGCCUGUCCCUUGUGUGGGUGGGUUGACGGUAGCUGGAUAAGAAGCGCCGGCUAACUACGUG